CAGCCAAGGGAACGGGCUUGGC
rnacentral:ncRNA from 2 species